rnacentral:snRNA from 1 species
GUGCUUGCUUUGUCAGCACAUAUACUAAAAUUGGAACAAUACAGAGAAAAUUAGCAUGGCCCCUGUGCAUAGAUGAUAUGCAAAUUUGUGAAGCGUUCCAUAUCUUU